rnacentral:rRNA from 1 species
AUUGAACGCUGGCGGCAGGCCUAACACAUGCAAGUCGAACGGUAACAGGAAGAAGCUUGCUUCUUUGCUGACGAGUGGCGGACGGGUGAGUAAUGUCUGGGAAACUGCCUGAUGGAGGGGGAUAACUACUGGAAACGGUAGCUAAUACCGCAUAACGUCGCAAGCCCAAAAAGGGGGACCUUCGGGCCUCUUGCCAUCGGAUGUGCCCAGAUGGGAUGAGCUAGUAGGUGGGGUAACGGCUCACCUAGGCGACGAUCCCUAGCUGGUCUGAGAGGAUGACAAGCCACACUGGAACUGAGACACGGUCCAGACUCCUACGGGAGGCAGCAGUGGGGAAUAUUGCACAAAGGGCGCAAGCCUGAUGCAGCCAUGCCGCGUGUAUGAAGAAGGCCUUCGGGUUGUAAAGUACUUUCAGCGGGGAGGAAGGGAGUAAAGUUAAUACCUUUGCUCAUUGACGUUACCCGCAGAAGAAGCACCGGCUAACUCCGUG